rnacentral:rRNA from 1 species
GACGAAGGAUGCAAGCGUUAUCCGGAUUCAUUGGGUUUAAAGGGAGCGUAGGCGGCCUUGUAAGUCAGUGGUGAAAUCUCGCAGCUUAACUGCGAAACUGCCAUUGAUACUGCAGGGCUUGAGUACAGAUGCUGUGGGCGGAAUAUGACAUGUAGUGGUGAAAUACAUAGAGAUGUCAUAGAACACCGGUGGCGAAGGCGGCGACCUGGUCCUUGACUGACGCUGAGGCGCGAAAGCGUGGGGAGCAAACAGG